ACGCUCGACACCUACGGAGGCAGCAGUCGGGAAUAUUGCGCAAUGGAGGGAACUCUGACGCAGCGACGCCGCGUGAAGGAAGAAGUAUCUCGGUAUGUAAACUUCUAUCAGCAGGGAAGAAAGUGACGGUACCUGACUAAGAAGCCCCGGCUAACUACGUGCCAGAAGCCGCGGUAAUCUGAGCGGGCUGGCAAGGC
rnacentral:rRNA from 1 species